GCUAUAAUUAGGCUACAAUUAGGUCCAGUUUAAUCCAAUCCCAUUCCACAGGCAGCUGUGUGCUGUUCCCCUCACCUUAUAUGGAAAGUGGGACGUACCAUCACAGCUGCAGCCUCACAGUACAGAGAGAUGAUGACAAAAACACACUCAAACACACACACACUCACACAAACACACUCAAACACACACUCACACAAAUACACACACACACACUCUGGGACAGUACGGCCAGGCUGUGCGGUUUGUGACUGAAGGGCUCGAGAUGCGGUUAGCGCGCGCGCGUGUUUGUGUGGAGGAACAGGACAGGACAGUAUGGAGUUCAGUAUGGAGCUGAGUUCUGAGUUCAGGGUUUACAGGAGGUAAAAUAUCUGAGCUGAACUUAAAUAUGGAAGAAGGAGAGAUGACAGUGGUGUUGGCUGGGCUGCAGCAGUUCCUGCAGAAGGAAGGUUUGGGUCUUGACGCUUCCGACUGUGAGCGCCUGGCUAUGCUGUGGCGACUCUACUUGGAAAAAGACAAGAGCGUGAGGAUGCUCACUGAGGAGAUACAGGAACUACGAGCUGAACGGGCAGCAGAGAUCAACACUGUUCAGCAGUAUGUUGAGAACAUCCGGAGUCUCUCCAGAACUCGGGACUCAGUGGCGUUGGAGCUGGAGCAGGAUAAUGAAAUGCUCCGCAACAAACUUGAUGAGAUCAGUCUCCAGCAAGGAGCCCAGAGAAAUGAGAUAGCUGAGAUGUUGCUGCAGGAGGGCCUGGCCGAGGUCAUUCCCAGCAGCCUCAGUGAACAGGUGGCUUACCUUCUAGCAGAAAGAGCUUCUCUUAUGGAGAAACUUCAGGCCCAGGAGGGUGCAGACAUGAAUGCCAUGCAAAAAUGUGCUGAAAAGGGAAUUCCACAAAACUCUAAUGAGAACACAGAAAAGGUGGUGUCUGUGCGAGGGCGGAGUUCCCAGAGUCCUUUGAGGAGGCUCCUAGGGAUGAGAAAGACUGCACAAACCAAGCAUAUAUCUUCUCCUGUUACUCAUAGCAGUACCUGUGGGGAGAAAGCAUCAAAAGAGCGUGAGCGCUGGUUGUUGGAGAGGGACCUGGAUGAAGCCUCCAACAGGCUGGACAUGGCUCACAGGGAGAUCCGCCGCCUCACUGAUGAGCUGGAGUCAGCCCGUCUCACUCAGAGCGCCUAUGAGCCAGAGCUACAGGAAGCUCAGCUAGAAGUGGAGCAACUCAGACAGGAGGUGGAGAAGCUCAAACGCUGUGAUGUGGCUGAACUUCGUAGAGCAAAAGAGGUUAAUGACGCUCUGGAUGCAGAGGUCCAUCAGCUGAGGAACAGAGUGCACAGAAUGCAGACAGAACGUUUCCAACUGCUUGAGCUGGUCGACAGAAAAAUUGAGGACUUGGACAAUGAGGAUGAUGAAGUUGUGCAGAAUUUCUUCCAGAAACUGACAAAGGGUCAUGUACUCAGCACUGACCUUCCAUCAAAAGACAAGACAAAUAAAGACAAAGACGUCCAUAAAAGGUGCUGUGCAGAGCUGCAGGAUCUAAAGCAGUCCAGUUUAAAGCUGAAGGCUGAGCUCGGUGAGGAAGAGGUUUUGAGGAAGAAGGCAGUGGAGGAGUGCGAUGACCAGAGUCAGAAAAGAGCAGCAGCAGAACAGCUGAUUCUGGAGGUUCAGGCUUUGUGUGAGCAGAAGGAGGAAGACCACAAGGCUGAAGUCCAGGAACUUCAGGAGAAGCAUGCCGAGGCACAGUUCAGGCAGCUGAAUGAUGAACUGAAAACGGCUCAGGACCUCCUCAACCUCACUAAUGAGGAGCUGCUCACAGAGAGUGAGAGGAAUGGCCAGCUUCAGAGGAACAUCUCACUACUUGAGCAGGAGAAAUUGAAGGUGGCUGCUGAUCUACAAAAAGCUCUGUCUAAAGUGACACAGCUGGAACAGAAUGACGCCUCCAGGUCUGCAGAGCUCCAGAACCUCCAGCAAAAGCUCCAGAUUCAGCAGACUCAGUGGGAGCAAGAAAAGUCCCUUUUACAGCGAGAACUGAAGGCUAACAGGGUUCAGAUCACCUCCCUGGAGCAGCAGGUUAAAGACCUCCAGCAGCAGCUGAAGAGUGCCACCCAGCAGCUCCGUGUGGAAGAGGCUCAAAAUGCACAGAACUCGAGGCUGGAGGAGAAAGUCAGAGACAUGCUGGAGGAGUUGGACACAUUAAAGAUUCAAGCUGAGGAUGCUCAAAAGCAUAGGGAACACUUGGCAGAGAGAGAGAUGGACCUGCAGCAGCAAGUACAGACUCUGCUCACCAUCAACUCUCAGCUGAGCCUCGCAAAGACAGAACUGAGUCGAGUUCAGGACCAACAGAGUAAAAAGCAAAAUGAUCUCAGGCAGAUCAUUGCAAAGCUGGAGCACAGCCUGAUGUGUAGUCAGCAAGAGAUUGAGAAGCUUCAGAUCCAGCUUCAGGAAGCCCACUGUAACCUGCAGUCGCAGAUCAGCAAAUUCCAAGACAAGAAGGAUCGCCACAAGGAGAAACUUGGUGAAGCUAAAGAGGUGUACCUCAGGGAGACGGCCUGGCGGGAUGAGAAGAUCAAGGAGCAGGACAGAGAACUGAGAGUCCUCAUGAAGAAGAUUGAGAAGGAGAGAGAGAUGGUGAAGAAGGUCACAGCUGAGAAUGAAGCACUGCUUCUGAACAGGAAACAACUGCUUUAUCAGCUGAACGAGGAGGAAGAGAGCAGAAAACAUGCGGUAGCUGAAGUUACGUCUAUGAAGCAAAGGGUGGAUUUUCUUGAGAAAGAUGGAGUUCAGCAAAGGGACUUUAAUAUGAUGAAAUCCAAACAGAUUGCGAAGCUGGAGGGACUGCUACACGAUAAACAGAUCAGUACUAAGGACUUCAAGAAUUUGUGUUCAUUCGAGAACCGAAUAAUUGAGGGCUCCGAGCAAGCAAGCUCCAGUGAACAGGGAUUUGAAACUUUUGACCUUGUUGAAUUCAUCCCGAAGACAAAAUCCAAACCCACAGAUGAUCCUGGAGCUCUGAACCAAAGCCGUGUCUCAGAGAUGGUCUACCUGACCUGAUCAUGGAGAUCUACUCAUACCGCUCUACACACCUACAGCACUGUUGCACAAACAGCACUGUUGGAUGACGUGAACACAAGCAAUACUCUGAAAAGCUUCUAACAGAGAAGCUUAAUUCCAGGAACUGAUUUUGGGAAAAUGAGGCUCUAAACAUAAUGGAUGACAGAGGUGGGACUGAACUACACAGCACAAAGCACUUUACCUUUUUAGAAGGGCUGAUGGACUGUUAUUAUGUGGUUUUGAUUAUUACGAUAAUUUGUAUGUUUUUCUUGUUUUGCUCUUGUUUUUUUAAAAUUAUGCUAUUUAUUAUUUUGCAAUUUAUGUAGCAUGUUUUUCUUAUUUAUGACGAAGCUAAAGCUGAACUGUAUUAUAUUAUAAAUAUAAUAAUAAUAAUGCAAAAUUUUAUAAAUUUGUAUAUAUCUUUUUUUUUUAUACAAAUUCAGUGAAUAAUAAGUAAAACUGUUAUGGAAGAUACAGUGGUUUUAAUACAGUAUUUAUACCUCUUGAACUUUGUCACAUUUUGUCACCUUACAACCACAAACUUAAAUGCAUUUUAUUGAGAUUUUAAGUUAUAGACCAACACAAAGUAGCGCAUCAUUGUGAAGAUGAACAAAAAUAAUACAUCAAUCUGAAAAAUGUGAUGUGAAAAAGUAUUUAGCCACCUCUAUAUCAAUACUAAGUAGAACCACCUUUCACUGUAAUUACAGCAGCAACAAUUUUGGGGUAUAUAUCUACAAGCUUUGCACAUCUAAACACUGAGUUUUUUUCCAUUAUUCUUUACAAUGCAGCUCAAGCUCAGCCAGGUUGGAAGAAGAGCGUCUGUGAACAGCAUAUUUUUUUAGCUAAACCAUUCCACUGUAGCUCUGGUUGUAUGUUUAGGGUCAUUGUCUUGCUGUAAAAUGAAACUCACUCCUUCCCAGUCUCAAGUCUUUUGCAGCCUCCAACAGGAUUUCUUCCUGGAUUGCCCUGAAUUUAGCUUCAUCCUGUGGACAGAUUCUCU
rnacentral:lncRNA from 1 species